GGAGCCUUUUGAGGAUGCAUUUGGACCUAAGAGGAAGAGGAAGCGCCCAAAGCUCUUGGCGGCAGAUUAUGAGUCUUUAGUAAAGAAAGCUGAUGGUUCUCAGGAUGCUUUUGAGCUGAAGCAUGGUUCCAAUGCAUCUGCAGAAGGAAGUGAAGUAGAUGGAUUUAGGGACCUGGUUCGGCAUAAAAUGUUCGAAAAGGGCCAAAGUAAGCGUAUAUGGGGUGAACUCUACAAAGUUAUAGACUCAUCAGAUGUUGUAGUGCAGGUUUUAGAUGCCAGGGAUCCUCAAGGUACUAGAUGCUAUCAUUUAGAGCACCAUUUGAAAGAACAUUGCAAGCAUAAACACAUGAUUCUUCUGUUGAACAAGUGUGAUCUUGUUCCAGCCUGGGCUACAAAAGGAUGGUUGAGGAUACUAUCCAAGGAAUAUCCAACUCUAGCAUUCCAUGCAAGCAUCAAUAAGUCUUUUGGCAAGGGUUCUCUUCUGUCCGUAUUAAGGCAAUUUUCCCGCUUAAAAAGUGACAAACAAGCAAUAUCAGUGGGAUUUGUUGGUUAUCCCAAUGUUGGGAAGUCAUCAGUUAUCAACACACUGCGUACUAAGAAUGUUUGCAAGGUUGCUCCUAU
rnacentral:misc_RNA from 1 species